UUCGCUCUUCACUUCGUUUUGAGCUUCGGAAGCGCAGGCGCCCUUUUCAAUGUAAGUUAAAGGGAGCUUGCUCCACGUAGCUCGAGCGUAGCGAUGAGUGUAGGGGAGUGGCGGACGGGUGAGUAACGAGUGAGAACGUACCCUCUAGUGAGGAAUAACUCCGAGAAAUCGGGGCUAAUACCGCAUGAGACCGUGAGGUGAAAGGGUGUAACUACCCGCUAGAGGAGCGGCUCGCUUCCCAUCAGCUUGUUGGUAAGGUAAUGGCUUACCAAGGCAACGACGGGUAGCCGGACUGAGAGGUUGACCAGCCACAAGAGCACUGAGACACGGGCUCUACUCCUACGGGAGGCAGCAACCGGGAAUCGUAGACAAUGGGCGAAAGCCUGAUCUCGCGACGCCGCGUGGAGGAUGAAGGCCUUCGGGUUGUAAACUCCUUUUAUUAGAGAAUAAGCUCCGAUUUAUCGGGGUUGACUGUACCUAUUGAAUAAGCGCUGCUAACUACGUGCCAGCAGCCGCGGUGAUACGUAGGCGCAAGCGUUACCCGGAAUUACUGGGCGUAAAGAGUGCGUAGGUGGUAAGGUAAGUUUUCGUUAAAAUACACUGGCUCAACCAGUGGACCGCGAAAAUACUGCCAUACUUGAGAUAGUUAGGGGGUACCGGAACAGAUGGUGAAGCAGUGAAAUGCGUUGAUAUCAUCUGGAACCCCAAGGCGAAGGCAGGUACCUGGGGCUUUUCUGACACUUUGCCGAAAGCGUGGGGAGCGAAGCGGAUUAGAU
rnacentral:rRNA from 1 species